ACAGUAUUGACUAACGUGUAUG
rnacentral:miRNA from 1 species